AUUGAACGCUGGCGGCAGGCCUAACACAUGCAAGUCGAGCGGAGCGUCGGACGGGUGAGUACUGCCUAGGAAUCUGCCUGGUAGUAUGGGAUCACGUCCGGAAACGGGCUCUAAUACUGCAUACUAUCAUCUUCGCCUCGGUCGGAUUAGCUAGUUGGUGGGGUAAAGUCCUACCAAGGCGACGAUCCGUCACUGGUCUGAGAGGAUGAUCAGUCACAUGGGAACUGAGACACGGCCCAGACGCCGACGGGAGGCAGCAGUGGGGAAUAGGGAACAAUGGGCGAAAGCAGGAUCCAGCCAUGCCGCGUGUGUGAAGAAGGUAUUCGGAUUGUAAAGCACAUUAAGUUGGGAGGCGUUACCAACAGAAUAAGCACCGGCUAACUUCGUGCCAGCAGCCGCGGUAAUAC
rnacentral:rRNA from 1 species